rnacentral:tRNA from 1 species
GUCAGGAUGGCCGAGUGGUCUAAGGCGCCAGACUCAAGUCUUGCUUCCUCGUGCUGAGGAUUCUGGUCUCCAGAUGGAGGCGUGGGUUCGAAUCCCACUUCUGACA